GAGCAGACAUGUCUUGGGGGGUGGUUGCGAGAGGAUGGGAGAAGAGAAGGGGAAGGAGAUGAGAAUCUUGAAGAGGUGAUCCACGGAGGGAAGUGGUGCAGAGAAAGGAGGUGUGUAGUGGUGCAGAGAAAGGAGGUGUGUAGUGGUGCAGAGAAAGGAGGUGUGUAGUGGUGCAGAGAAAGGAGGUGUGUAGUGGUGCAGAGAAAGGAGGCGUGGAGUGGUGCAGAGAAAGGAGGCGUGGAGUGGUGCAGAGAAAGGAGGUAUGUAGUGGUGCAGAGAAAGGAGGUAUGUAGUGGUGCAGAGAAAGGAGGUGUGUAGUGGUGCAGAGAAAGGAGGUGUGUAGUGGUGCAGAGAAAGGAGGUAUGUAGUGGUGCAGAGAAAGGAGGUGUGUAGUGGUGCAGAGAAAGGAGGCGUGGAGUGGUGCAGAGAAAGGAGGUGUGUAGUGGUGCAGAGAAAGGAGGUAUGUAGUGGUGCAGAGAAAGGAGGUGUGUAGUGGUGCAGAGAAAGGAGGUGUGUAGUGGUGCAGAGAAAGGAGGUAUGAAGUGGUGCAGAGAAAGGAGGUGUGUAGUGGUGCAGAGAAAGGAGGUGUGUAGUGGUGCAGAGAAAGGAGGUAUGUAGUGGUGCAGAGAAAGGAGGUAUGUAGUGGUGCAGAGAAAGGAGGUAUGUAGUGGUGCAGAGAAAGGAGGUAUGUAGUGGUGCAGAGAAAGGAGGUGUGUAGUGGUGCAGAGAAAGGAGGUGUGUAGUGGUGCAGAGAAAGGAGGCGUGGAGUGGUGCAGAGAAAGGAGGCGUGGAGUGGUGCAGAGAAAGGAGGCGUGGAGUGGUGCAGAGAAAGGAGGCGUGGAGUGGUGCAGAGAAAGGAGGUGUGUAGUGGUGCAGAGAAAGGAGGUAUGUAGUGGUGCAGAGAAAGGAGGUAUGUAGUGGUGCAGAGAAAGGAGGUAUGUAGUGGUGCAGAGAAAGGAGGUAUGUAGUGGUGCAGAGAAAGGAGGUGUGUAGUGGUGCAGAGAAAGGAGGCGUGGAGUGGUGCAGAGAAAGGAGGUGUGUUUAGUAUUCUUCUUGGUCUCCCUGUGGCGCCUCCUCCACCAUGUCGUACUCUGGCGCCAUGAAGCCAUCCU